rnacentral:lncRNA from 1 species
GGAGAUGUCACUGGAUUCUUAACUAUUUGUGUGUUUGUGUAUGUGGGGGAAGGUGUGUAUGCAUGUGUUUGUGUGUGUAUGUGCAAGUUAGAAUGUGCGUGCAUGCGUGUGUGUGUGUGUGUGUGUGUGUGUGUGUGUGUGUGUGUGUGUGUGUGUGUAGGCCAGAUGUCAAGCCCAAGCAUUUCUCUCAGGAGCUGUCUACCUUUCUUUCUUGGGUUUUUCUGUUUGUUUGUUUGUUUUGGGGGGGCAGACAAGGUUUCUCUGUGUAACAGCUCUGGCUGGCCUGGAACUCCCUUUGUAGAUGGGGCUGGCCGUGAACUCACAGAGAUCCACCUGCCUCUGCCUCCUGAGUUUGGGGAUGAAAGAUGCCUAUAGAGGCUAGAGUUUCUACUGCUGCCUCUGAUGAAAACUCUGAAGCUGAGCUCCACUUUGCACUGGGUCAUCAAUGACAGAUGAUCAACAAAGAAGCCAGUAUCCAGGAAAUAGGGUGAUGGAAUACCACGGUACCUUUUGUUUGGGUUGGAAGACUUAAAUACUAUAGGCAAUUGUUAUUUCCCAUGAUCUACCCAGAUCCAGGAUUGGUUAAUUCAGCGCCUAAAUGAUAUCACUUGAGAUUGUUGUCCAUCUUUAAAGUUCUUAAGUCCUAAGUUCUCUGUUGUCAUGGUUACAGGAUUUGGUUCACAGCUCUGAGCAACCUCUGCUUACCUCAGAGCAGAAAAGGGCCCAUCUUCUCUCUGGUUAAUCUGAGCCACUGAGAACUUAGCCUUGUGGUACACAGCCAUCUUGUAACCCUUUGUGAUGAGAUAUCUAAGAAAGACUCAACUGUUUGAAAGAAAGCCAAACCCAGAGACGAGACACAUCUGCACGCAAAUGUCAAUCUGAGCUCACAAAAGCUUCUGGACUUCUUCCAUGACACAAAAACUUUCUCCUCAACUUGGUUACCUAUCACUUAUAACCCUGAGGACCUACUCAUAUGCUCUACUUGUCAAAAUAAAAAUCAGUUGACCCUCAGCUCCAAUGUCUAUGUGGAGAUAAGAUGAAAACUUUUUGGAGUUGGUUCUUUCUUUCCUCCAUGUGGGUCCCAAGGAUCUAACUCAGGUCAGCAGGCUUGGCAGCAAACAUCUUUAUCUUCUGAACCAUCUCACUGGUCAUCCUUCUCAGUAGUUCUCUUUAGAACUACUGAGAUCAUGAUCAAAAAAGAAAGAUAAGAAAUGGUCACAUGCUACACAGACUGGAGAACUACAUAUGAACAGAUAUCCUGGGCCA